rnacentral:rRNA from 1 species
AAUAGAUACCCGGGUAGUCCACGCCGUAAACGAUGAGUGCUAAGUGUUAGAGGGUUUCCGCCCUUUAGUACUGCAGCUAACGCAUUAAGCACUCCGCCUGGGGGAGUACGGCCGCAAGGCUGAAACUCAAAGGAAUUGACGGGGGCCCGCACAAGCGGUGGAGCAUGUGGUUUAAUUCGAAGCAACGCGAAGAACCUUACCAGGUCUUGACAUCCUCUGCCAACCCUAGAGAUAGGGCGUUCCCCUUCGGGGGACAGAGUGACAGGUGGUGCAUGGUUGUCGUCAGCUCGUGUCGUGAGAUGUUGGGUUAAGUCCGCAACGAGCGCAACCCUUGAUCUUAGUUGCCAGCAUUCAGUUGGGCACUCUAAGGUGACUGCCGGUGACAAACCGGAGGAAGGUGGGGAUGACGUCAAAUCAUCAUGCCCCUUAUGACCUGGGCUACACACGUGCUACAAUGGAUGGUACAAAGAGCAGCGAACCCGCGAGGGUAAGCCAAUCUCAUAAAGCCAUUCUCAGUUCGGAUUGUAGGCUG